GUCACGCCCGAAGUCGUUACCCUAACCUUUUUUAGGAGGGGGACGCCGAAGGUAGAGCUAGUGACUGGGGUGAAGUCGUAACAAGGUAGCCGUACCGGAAGGUGUGGCUGGAUCACCUCCUUA
rnacentral:rRNA from 1 species